GUCACCUGAAAGUGGGUGAGAGCCUGGACGUCGCCCACAGAGAAGCAUGGUGCUCAUCGAGUAGUGUGCAUCCACUGGCUCAACAAUAUUAGGUGCAUAACUUCUAUGGCAACACCUUUUUUGCGGAUAAUCUAUGGCAACACCUUGUAGUAUUGACAAUGAUCACGCUACUCAGGUCGUCUUCUCAAGUCUUGAAGUAUAUAUGAUCGCCAUAAUUUUUAUCUUUGUAGCAUCUAAAAGUUCUCAGGUUUUGUCUAUUUUCCAUUUAGUUUCCAUGGCCUGUUCUAAGAACACGCAAGGGGGUAAUUCGCUCAGAAAUAUGAAGUGCAAGUAUACGCAUUUAGUAGUUGCAGGAACUGAGACAAAGGCCAAAUAUAGCAUGCUUGGUAGGAGAACUACGCAAUUAACGUUGGAGCUGUUGGCAGAAAUAAAUGGGGAACACCAAACACUGGCCUAACAUUCCUGUGAUGUGGGGGUGGAGGAGACAAGGUUUGAUCCGUUAUGGAG